GACGAACGCUGGCGGCGUGCUUAACACAUGCAAGUCGAACGAUGAAGAAAAGAAUCGAAGCUUCGGCAGAAAUUCAUUUCGGAUUAGUGGCAGACGGGUGAGAAACGCGUGAGCAACCUACCUCUUACAAAGGGAUAGCCUCGGGAAACCGGGAUUAAUACCAUAUAACAUUGCGACGAAGCAUUUCGAUGCAAUCAAAGCUACGGCGGUAAGAGAUGGGCUCGCGUCCCAUUAACCGGAUGGUGAGGUAACGGCUCACCAUAGUGACGAUGGGUAACCGGCCUGAGAGGGUGAACGGUCACACUGGAACUGAGACACGGUCCAGACUCCUACGGGAGGCAGCAGUGGGGAAUAUUGCACAAUGGAGGGAACUCUGAUGCAGCGACGCCGCGUGAGUGAUGAAGGAAUUCGUUUCGUAAAACUCUGUUCUAUGGGAAGAAAAGGACUGUACCAUAGGAGAAAGCUCCGGCUAAAUACGUG
rnacentral:rRNA from 1 species